GAUGAAGAACGUAGUGAAAUGCGAUAAGUAAUGCGAAUUGCAGAAUUUCCGUGAGUCAUCGAAUCUUUGAACGCACAUUGCGCCCGCUAGUAUUCUGGCGGGCAUGCCUGUUCGAGCGUCAUUUCAACCAUCAAGCCCUAGGCUUGCGUUGGAGCCCUGCGGCUGCCGCAGGCUCCCAAAUCCAGUGGCGGGCUCGUCGUCGUACCGAGUGCAGUAAACAUCCUCGCUCAGGGAACGUGACGGGUUCUUGCCGUGAAACCCCCCACAUAUCAAGGUUGACCUCGGAUCAGGUAGGAAUACCCGCUGAACUUAAGCAUAUCAAUAAGCGGAGGA
rnacentral:misc_RNA from 1 species